AGGGGUACAGCUCAGUAGUAGAGCACUUGCUUAGCAUGAAUGAGGUCCUGGGUUCAAUCCCCAGUAUCUCCA
rnacentral:tRNA from 1 species